rnacentral:rRNA from 1 species
AGCUCCAAUAGCGUAUAUUAAAGUUGUUGCGGUUAAAAAGCUCGUAGUUGGAUUUCUGCUGAGGACGACCGGUCCGCCCUCUGGGUGAGUAUCUGGCUUGGCCUUGGCAUCUUCUUGGAGAACGUAGCUGCACUUGACUGUGUGGUGCGGUAUCCAGGACUUUUACUUUGAGGAAAUUAGAGUGUUUCAAGCAGGCACACGCCUUGAAUACAUUAGCAUGGAAUAAUAAGAUAGGACCUUGGUUCUAUUUUGUUGGUUUCUAUGGCUGAGGUAAUGAUUAAUAGGGAUAGUUGGGGGGCAUUCGUAUUUGACUGUCAGAGGUGAAAUUCUUGGAUUUGUUAAAGAAGGACUACUGCGAAAGCAUUUGCCAAGGAUGUUCUCAUUG